rnacentral:tRNA from 1 species
AACCCGUUCGUCUAUCGGUUAGGACGCUAAGGUUUUCAUCCCUAGAAGAGGGGUUCGAUUCCCCUACGGGCUA